rnacentral:tRNA from 1 species
GAGGUUGUGGCUCAGUGGUAGAGCAUCUGCCUAGCACAUAGAGGCUCUGGGUUCGAUCCUCAGCACCACA